rnacentral:rRNA from 1 species
AAAUCGUUUGGUCAAGCUAAUAAGAGCGCAGGGUGGAUGCCUUGGCACUAAGAGCCGAUGAAAGA